rnacentral:rRNA from 1 species
UACGAAGGGGGCUAGCGUUGCUCGGAAUCACUGGGCGUAAAGCGCACGUAGGCGGACUCUUAAGUCGGUGGUGAAAUCCUGGAGCUCAACUCCAGAACUGCCUUUGAUACUGGGGAGCUCGAGUCCGGAAGAGGUGAGUGGAACUCCGAGUGUAGAGGUGAAAUUCGUAGAUAUUCGGAAGAACACCAGUGGCGAAGGCGGCUCACUGGUCCGGUACUGACGCUGAGGUGCGAAAGCGUGGGGAGCAAACAGG